AUUUCGGCCACGCGUAAUUGCGGCCACUCUAAUCAUGUGACGUAUGACGUUUUCAGAUUUUCUAAGAGUUUUUAAAUGUGUUAUGUUUCCUUAAGCCAUCGGGGCUUAGUUUAUUGUCCUAUGUUUUCUUAAUGUUUCUUAUGUUUUCUAGGGUUUUCUUGAGUUUUAGUUUUCUUACCGAUAUGAAAGCGGCUGAAGUGAAUCCUUAGCCUGUUUUGGGCUAUCUUAUGUUAUAUCCGCCGUUACAGUUUAAUAUCCUGUUGCGCUCAUACCUGAAGCAAUUGGACGAUCGUUCUCGAAAAGCGAGCCACAUAAAACUGUAUUUGUGUGGCUGUUGGUGACGAACCCGUGGUGAUGAGAUCUUAAAGGUUCGCAAGAAGGAAAUCCAGGAGAAGGCGGCUUAUUUGGUCUAUUCCCACCUCCUUAUAUACGGGUGACGGCGAUCACUGGAUCCUUAUGGAAUGGUGAACAGCAAAAAAAUGGUGGUGGCCCAAUCCUAAAGAAAAAGCGCUGCUAACGGCAAAGCUAUGAAAACCUUUGAAACCAAGUCGUUUGGACGCAUACAACGCAUUGUUUGAAAAUGCAAUAAAGAGGGCAGUUCGACUAUGUGUUGUGGAAGGUGAACUACGGCAUCGCAAUGAUAAACGCAGCGAAGGAUGGUCUGGACAUGCCACAGCGAAGAAGUCUUUACCAUGCGUGCAGCCACAUCUUGACUAUGGGUCGGAUACGUGGUCACCAGCAUCUUCGACUUUACGCGGCAAGCUAGCCAGUUCCCAACGGGAAGCAGUGCAGGCCACUACUUAUUACAUGGAGCGGGUAACCCCCGAGCUGUAUCAGCGAUUACGCAUCCUGCCGUUGUUCGACCGUUGGAAGCAAUCAGCUUAUCACACUGUGCUGUCGUAUCGGAUGGCCUGUGGAAAUCGGAGUGGAUGCUCCAGUUAUCAACACGUUUUCCGCUAGUGCUACGACAAAAAAGCUUAGUGGCGUAAUCAUGGGUCGAUCACUUGUUCACAACCGCCAAUCACAGCUUUUCUGCUUAUCUGUAAAAAAACUGACGCCACUAACCCACAACAACUUGAUAAUUUUCCCUCAGUUUGGACUCAACAGAUCUUUGGCACAAAUGACAAACACACAGUAUUCAGACCGUUUCAUUUUCUUCUGGCGAUAAAUUACGAUUGGACCUGACACUGGCCGAGCGACGACGGUUACCUGCGUUGCGGCCGCGUCGUGGACGAGGACAGCGGCGGACUUUACGUUGACCUGGAUUACUGCGAUAGGCGCCGCAAAUUUGCCCCCUUCGGAAGGGUAUUCCGGCCCAUCCGCCCUCUGCCGGUCGAUCAGGGGGCGAAGCAACAGCCUGCCGUCGCUGGCACGAUUAAAAAAUUCUAAACAUUAUUUCUUAAUAUAUUUUUAUUCCGAAGUUAAUGAUUUUUUAUUUUCGAAAAGUGAUUUCCCAAGUUUUUUCUGUUGUUAUAAGCACACAACAUUAAAUAAAUGAUUAAGCAAAAUAGUUUCAGAUUUGUCAUUUUUCCUGCAUCAGUUUUAUGUUUCUUUAAAUUGGCCGAUGCAGUAAAUUGAUCAGUUUCUCCACGAAAAUUUGUUAAAUAGCACGGUACAAAAUAAAAUUUUUAAACCCAUCCAGAUGUUAGCAGCCCGGUUUGAUCUUAAAAUUAUUAUUUUUUAUUUAUUGUUAUUUAUUAUUCUUAUUAUUAUGCUUUGAUUAUUGUUUAAUUUUUUAUUUAUUUUUUAUUUAUUUUAAAACUAUUAUUUGUAGUUGGAUCUGAAAAAAGUUUGAAACUGCAAUUUCUACCCUAGUCGCCGGUGCCACGCCCGUGCGCGUGCGGGUGCGGGAAACCGGUUUCGGUCCGUGGAUUUGGCUGCCGGCUGCUAUGACUCGUUUGGGAGGCGGCCGCCGCGACCCGGACUACGCAGCGGCCGUUGUCCAGUGGAGGACACCCGGUACGGAUGAGGCGCACACCCAGAUCGUCCCGUUGGAGCGUCUGGAUAGGGCGGUGCCGACGGAGCGCAGCGAGCCGGUCCAACCCGGCAUGCUGGGCGCGGCCAGCGUGGCGCUGGAGACGGGGCUUCCCGCACUAUCGCCGGCAGCGGCCGCUGUGCUCAUUCCGAUGACCAACGACCAUUUCAGUAGCCGGCGGUGGAUGUGCGUCGGGGAGCUGCGGAACGGCCGGUCCAGCAUGGUGAUGAGCGCCGCAGACUGCAGGACCGGGGACGACGCCAACGCCCGGUUUCUGGUACAUUGACUUGUCUUCUUAAUCGAUCACAUUCGUUAUAUAUUUUUAAUCACCUGAUCACCCGCAUAUUCCAAUCCCCUGGAAGCCAAAAAUUUGAGAAAUAACUGCUUCACAUACUCCUAACUGUGCUUAUACUUUCAGAAUAAUUUAUUUUAAUAACUACUUCUUAUAAACCAAACUAAAACUGUCAUAAACUCUAAAAAAAUAAUUUAAUAGGAAAAUCAAACUGGAAUUAUUAAUGCAUACUGUAUAGUAAAGAUGUUACAUUUUUUUUACUAUACAUUAAUAAUGGUGAAGGCUCCGCAUACCACCUUUAUACCACCUUUGACUCCUAAUACCACAUUUUGCACACCACGUUUGACUCCCCAUACCACCAUAAGUUUUUUUAAGCUUUUAAUAAAAAGAUAAGUUAAAAUAUUUGUUGCUGUGAUGUUUUAUAAAUGUUUAAGGUUACAAUGUCAUAACAUCGUUUUACCGGUAAAUGAUCAGAUUCUUAUAUAGCCGGUGUUUUCUUGAAAAGUUGAAAAACGUCGAAAAGGCGCAUUAGUCCAAGAAGAUCAGAUAGCGAUCCAGAACAUCCUUUGAUGUAUGAAGGAGCCUCCUUCGCGACGUUCAUGAUUUUCCAAGAGGCGUUCACGCGUUAUCAAAAAGAAACCUUUCGAAUGGAAAUGUGUGAAUUGUGUUAAGUACUAAAUAAAUGGUGGUAUGCGGAGUCAAAAGUGGUGUGCAAAAGGUGGUACUAGGAGUAGGAGCCAAAUGUGGUAUAUGGUAUUAGGAGUAUUAGGAGCCAAAGGUGGUAAAAGGUGGCAUGAGGAGCCUGGUCUUUUUUUCAAUAUAGGAUUAAACAGGAUUUACCCUUUACAAAGUACUUACAAUUUUUUAAAAAAAGGUUGAGCCUUUUCCUUGCAGUUGCGUCGUAAAGAAAUCAGUAACGACAGCGCUUUCGCCACGCCACGUGAGCCACUCUAGUGCUGUGACUGCACUGUAUCCGGAGAAAUGCAGUCACGACUCGCCGACACACACUGCGCCUGCGCUUUACAAUUUAGGUACACUUAGGUUUACAUUACUUCAAAUUUUUCCUUCAUUUCUUCAAAGCUAAUGGCGCAGCCGCGGUGACUGCAAUUCUCUGAGUGUAGUGAAGUGGCGUUUCCGGAAUUUUUAUUUCAAGUGGUCCACUUUAAUGACCAUCGCUUAUUGCUUAAUUUACUUAAUGUCCACUACUUUUGUUACUCAACAUACCUAAUAUUUUGGCCGCCGCAGAAUUGUCGCUGCUUCCCGGAUGAUAAUCAUAAGCGUUAGGUAAUUUCACGACUAACAAAUUUACGGUUUCAAAUCGUAAAGAUCUUACUUGGCACGAAAGAAGAAUGCCAGAAACAAGUGACACAGCCCGACAGAAACUGGAUACACUGCUGUUCGACCAGGACAAUGGCCGAGAUGAUCGAAGGAAUACCACUGCUGCUGGACGCCUUCAACCAGAGGUGCUAUCUCCGUAGCCAGGCAGCAUCGGGUGGUUAUGACUCCGCUCUUUUCCAAGCUGAGUCCGCUGAGUUAGAGCAGAGAAUGACGGAAUCCCGAAGCAUGUGGCCCAUCAGCGCAGCGGCUAGUGCCGUAUUGACGGAAGCUUUCGGCACUUUCUCGUCCACACAACAUGAUCGUUCUUUUCGUGUUCUUCAAGGAUCUCCCCCAACGAGGAGUGAGCACUAUUACCGGUCCUGGUCGAUGUUCAGUCCAGAGACUCUGAAACUGCUCAUCCGCCACCCGUGCACCGCACAGCUUGAUUCUGGGCAAGCAGGUGUUCUGGAAAGCUGGCUGCGGCUUUUCCUGAAAAGUAGUCCCACCGAAUUCGUUUUAGCGAGCGUGAUUCUUUUUCUUUGCGAACGGACGUUUACGGUCAUUCGGCCCCAUCGUCAAGAUUUAAAUUGAUCAUCUCAUCAGAAGAGCAGCUACCUGUAGUUUUUUCUUUGAGUUCCAGUAAUUAACAUUUUCAGUGAUUCAGAUAAACACUAGUCGUAUAAAUGAAAUGUCAGAAAUGGCAUCAAUAAUGUCGCGAUUGAGGAACGAUAGCGAUGGUUGGUUAGCAUAAAAUACAUUUAUCUAUGUUGGGCAAAGAGCGGAGUACAGUAUGCGUGCACAUAACAAGCGCAGAGCUGGUGGCAAGUACAUGCCGCUGAUGCAAAGGGCAUGGCGCGUCACUUAGGCGGUUUCACACUGGUCAAAGCUUCUCGCAUCUCCGUAGCAACAAUUGAUACCAACCCCGGAAACAGGACUUAUCAAAAGGUGCUGUUUAUGGUUAUCAAAUAAACUGAGAAUGCAGUCCUUUAAGAAUUAUGCCGAGGAAUGAAGACGAAUCAAGGAUUACGAAUUUUCACUGGUGCACCCGUGAUGUCCGCCAGCUUCUGGAGCCUUCUGGAUGCGAAAGGCAUCCAUUAAGGCAUGACGGAAUGACG